UACGGGAGGCAGCAGUGGGGAAUAUUGGGCAAUGGGCGCAAGCCUGACCCAGCGACGCCGCGUGAGGGAAGAAGGUCUUCGGAUUGUAAACCUUAGUCAACAGGGACGAAGCAUGACGGUACCUGUGGAGGAAGCCACGGCUAACUACGUGCCAGCAGCCGCGGUAAU
rnacentral:rRNA from 1 species